rnacentral:rRNA from 1 species
UACGUAGGGUGCGAGCGUUGUCCGGAAUUACUGGGCGUAAAGAGCUCGUAGGUGGUUUGUCGCGUUGUUCGUGAAACUCACAGCUCAACUGUGGGCGUGCGGGCGAUACGGGCAGACUGGAGUACUGCAGGGGAGACUGAAUUCCUGGUGUAGCGGUGGAAUGCGCAGAUAUCAGGAGGAACACCGGUGGCGAAGGCGACUCACUGGACAUGUAUUGACGCUGAGGUGCGAAAGCCGUGGGGAGCAAACAGG